rnacentral:piRNA from 1 species
UACAUGUUCAUGGUGGAUCUGGGCGCCC